UGAAACGCCCGGUCCCAUUCCGAACCCGGAAGCUAAGCCCUCCAGCGCCGAUGGUACUGCACUCGACAGGGUGUGGGAGAGUAGGACACCGCCGAAC
rnacentral:rRNA from 1 species